GUGAAGAAUCAUUCGCAAUGGGCGAAAGCCUGACGGUGCGACGCCGCGUGGAGGAUGAAGGCCUUCGGGUUGUAAACUCCUGUCACGCUGUACGAAUUGCUCUAGGGCAAAUAGUCUUAGGGCAUGACUCCAAGGCGAGAGGAAGCCACGGCUAACUUCGUGCCAGCAGCCGCGGUAAGACGAAGGUGGCGAGCGUUGUUCGGAAUCACUGGGCGUAAAGAGUUCGUAGGCGGCUAGGUCAGUCAGGUGUGAAAUCCCUCGGCUCAACUGGGGAACGGCGCCUGAUACUGCCUGGCUUGAGGGCAGGAGGGGAGAGUGGAAUUCCUGGUGUAGCGGUGAAAUGCGUAGAUAUCAGGAGGAACACCGGUGGCGAAAGCGACUCUCUGGACUGCUUCUGACGCUGAGGAACGAAAGCCAGGGGAGCAAACGGGAUUAGAAACCCCGGUAGUCC
rnacentral:rRNA from 1 species